rnacentral:rRNA from 1 species
GGGCUCGGUCCGUCGGUGGACCCUCGUGGUCUUAAUCGGCGUGUCAACCGGCCCGCCCGUCCCCUCCUUCUGGAUUCCCGUUCCUGCUAUUGAGUUAGUGGGGACGUCACAGGGGGCUCAUCGUCGUCAUGCAAAUGGCGGCGGUGGGUCCCUGGGGCCCAGAUCGUUUACCGUGAAAAAAUUAGAGUGUUCAAAGCAGGCAGAUCCAAUUUUCUGCCACCGAAUACAUUAGCAUGGGAUAAUGGAAUAGGACCCUGUCCUCCUAUUUUCAGUUGGUUUUGGCAGCGCGAGGACUAGGGUAAUGAUUAAUAGGGAUAGUUGGGGGCAUUAAUAUUUAAUUGUCAGAGGUGAAAUUCUUGGAUUUAUGAAAGAUUAACUUCUGCGAAAGCAUCUGCCAAGGAUGUUUUCAUUAAUCAAGAACGAAAGUUAGGGGAUCGAAGACGAUCAGAUACCGUCGUAGUCUUAACCAUAAACGAUGCCGACCAGCGAUUAGGAGACGUUGAAUACAAAACACCACCAUCGGCGCGGUCGUCCUUGGCGUCUGUCCCUUUCAACGGGGGCAGGCGCGAGGGCGGUUUAGCCCGGUGGCACCGGUGAAUGACUCCCCUAGCAGCUUGUGAGAAAUCAUAAGUCUUUGGGUUCCGGGGGGAGUAUGGUCGCAAGGCUGAAAC